rnacentral:rRNA from 1 species
UACGGAGGGUGCGAGCGUUAUUCGGAAUUACUGGGCGUAAAGGGAGCGUAGGCGGACAUUUAAGUCAGGGGUGAAAUCCCGGGGCUCAACCUCGGAAUUGCCUUUGAUACUGGGUGUCUUGAGUAUGAGAGAGGUGUGUGGAACUCCGAGUGUAGAGGUGAAAUUCGUAGAUAUUCGGAAGAACACCAGUGGCGAAGGCGACACACUGGCUCAUUACUGACGCUGAGGCUCGAAAGCGUGGGGAGCAAACAGG